rnacentral:rRNA from 1 species
AAAGACAGCAGUAGCCGCGGGAAUACAGAGGAUGCAAGCGUUAUCCGGAAUGACUGGGCGUAAAGGGCGCGUAGGCGGAUUGUUUAGUUAGGCGUGAAAUUCCUGGGCUUAACCUGGGGACUGCGCUUAAUACAGGCAGUCUAGAGUGAGGAAGAGGGUUGUGGAAUUCCCAGUGUAGAGGUGAAAUUCGUAGAUAUUGGGAAGAACACCGGUGGCGAAGGCGGCAACCUGGUCCUUGACUGACGCUGAGGCGCGAAAGCGUGGGGAGCAAACAGGAUUAGAUACCCCCGUAGUCCCUGUCUCUUAUAC